rnacentral:rRNA from 1 species
AUUAAACGCUGGCGGCAUGCCUUACACAUGCAAGUCGAACGGCAGCACGGGGGCAACCCUGGUGGCGAGUGGCGGACGGGUGAGUAAUGCAUCGGAACGUGCCCUGAAGUGGGGGAUAACGCAGCGAAAGCUACGCUAAUACCGCAUAUUCUGUGAGCAGGAAAGCAGGGGAUCGCAAGACCUUGCGCUUUGGGAGCGGCCGAUGUCGGAUUAGCUAGUUGGUGGGGUAAAGGCCUACCAAGGCGACGAUCCGUAGCGGGUCUGAGAGGAUGAUCCGCCACACUGGGACUGAGACACGGCCCAGACUCCUACGGGAGGCAGCAGUGGGGAAUUUUGGACAAUGGGCGGAAGCCUGAUCCAGCCAUGCCGCGUGAGUGAAGAAGGCCUCGGUUGU